UCCGAAAAGCCCUAUGUUUGCU
rnacentral:misc_RNA from 1 species